rnacentral:lncRNA from 1 species
UACCCUUAAAGGGAGUGACUUUAAGGAAUACUCGAUCGCCUUUCUCAAAUUUUAAAUCUCUCAUUCGGGUAUCCGCAUAACUUUUCUGUGUAUUAUGGGCUGUCUGGAUGUUUUUCUUGAUUUUAUCAAUUUUUGCCGUGGUUUCAUCUACAAGAUCUGGGCCAAUCAAUUUUCUAUCACCCACCUCUUUCCAAUAGAUCGCCUGUAAUACUCAGGCCUGAAAAUUGACCCAAAAUGAUU